GGAUGUGAGGACGAUCUGGCUGUGACAUCUGUCACCCCAUUGAUCGCCAGGGUUGAUUCAGCUGAUCUGGCUGGCUAGGCGGGUGUCCCCCUCCUCCCUCACUGAUCCAUGUGAGUCCCUCCCGAAGCUGAGCACUCGCGCUCAGUGGAAGAGGAUCUCCCCCCCACCCCCCCGCCAGGAGAGGACCAGUCUUCGGUCAAGGGUAUACGAGUAGCUGCGCUUCCCGCUAGAACCUCCAAACAAGCUCUCAAAAUAGAUUACAAAGCUAAAGUAAUUAAAACAAUAUGCGACUGGCAUAA
rnacentral:snRNA from 1 species